AGAGUUUGAUUAUGGCUCAGAACGAACGCUGGCGGCGCGUUUUAAGCAUGCAAGUCGAGCGGCAAGGGUCUUCGGGCCCCUAGAGCGGCGGACGGGUGAGUAACACGUGGACAAUCUGCCCCCCGGCCGGGGAUAGCCCAGGGAAACCUGGAUUAAUACCGGAUGAGACGGGACCCGCGGAGGCGGGAUCCGGGAAAGGCGCUGCGGCGCCGCCGGGGGAUGAGUCUGCGUCCCAUUAGCUUGACGGCGGGGUAACGGCCCACCGUGGCGACGAUGGGUAGCCGGCCUGAGAGGGUGGACGGCCACAUUGGAACUGAGACACGGUCCAGACUCCUACGGGAGGCAGCAGCUAAGAAUCUUCCGCAAUGGGCGAAAGCCUGACGGAGCGACGCCGCGUGAACGAAGAAGGCCGUGAGGUUGUAAAGUUCUUUUCGGGAGGGGGAACAACCGUGGCAGGGAAUGGCCGCGGGAUGACGUGAAUCCCGGAAUAAGCCCCGGCUAACUACGUGCCAGCAGCCGCGGUAACACGUAGGGGGCGAGCGUUGUUCGGAAUCAUUGGGCGUAAAGGGCGCGCAGGCGGUCCUGCAAGUCCGGCGUGAAAGACCCCGGCCCAACCGGGGGGGCGCGCUGGAAACUGCAGGGCUUGAGUACAGGAGGGGAUGCCGGAAUUCCAGGUGUAGGGGUGAAAUCUGUAGAUAUCUGGAGGAACACCAAUGGCGAAGGCAGGCAUCUGGCCAUGUACUGACGCUGAGACGCGAAGGUGCGGGGAGCAAACAGGAUUAGAUACCCUGGUAGUC
rnacentral:rRNA from 1 species